GACGAACGCUGGCGGCGUGCUUAACACAUGCAAGUCGAACGGAAAGGCCCUGCUUUUGUGGGGUGCUCGAGUGGCGAACGGGUGAGUAACACGUGAGUAACCUGCCCUUGACUUUGGGAUAACUUCAGGAAACUGGGGCUAAUACCGGAUAGGAGCUCCUGCUGCAUGGUGGGGGUUGGAAAGUGUCGGCGGUUGGGGAUGGACUCGCGGCUUAUCAGCUUGUUGGUGGGGUAGUGGCUUACCAAGGCUUUGACGGGUAGCCGGCCUGAGAGGGUGACCGGCCACAUUGGGACUGCGGUACGGCCCAGACGCCUACGGGAGGCAGCAGUGGGGAAUAUUGCACAAUGGGCGGAAGCCUGAUGCAGCAACGCCGCGUGCGGGAUGACGGCCUUCGGGUUGUAAACCGCUUUCGCCUGUGACGAAGCGUGAGUGACGGUAAUGGGUAAAGAAGCACCGGCUAACUACGUG
rnacentral:rRNA from 1 species